GUGUCAGCAGCCGCGGUAAUACGGAGGAUCCUCGCUUUAUCCGGAUUUGUUGGGUUUAAAGGGAGCGGAGGCGGAUGUUUAAGUCAGUUGUGAAAGUUUAAGGCUCAACCUUGAAAUUGCAGUUGAUACUGGACGUCUUGAGUGCAUUAAAUGUGGGCGGAAUUCGUGGUGUAGCGGUGAAAUGCUUAGAUAUCACGAAGAACUCCAAUUGCGAAGGCAGCUCACAGGACUGUAACUGACGCUGAUGCUCGAAAGUGUGGGUAUCAAACAGGAUUAGAUACCCUGGUAGUCCACACAGUAAACGAUGAAUACUCGCUGUUUGCGAUAUACAGUAAGCGGCCAAGCGAAAGCGGGAAGUAUUCCGCCUGGGGAGUAAGCCGGCAACGGUGAAACUUAAAUGAAUUGGCGG
rnacentral:rRNA from 1 species